AAAGGGUUUCUGCCGUGAGUGGCACUCGGGCGGGGCCCCGCGCCUCGUCCGUGCGGAAUCGAUAUCAAGAGAUUUCGGAAGCACAAUUUUUGUUCUGAGGGGCUGCUGGUGACCGAGCGUCCCGGCGCCCCGCGGUGCCCGUGUUCAAGGCAGAGCGAGUGUAGCCGCGGUUUUCCCCGCGCCGGAGGCUGGUGUUGCGGGGCUCCGUCUCUCUUAACGCUGGGGUGUGCGGUGGGUCUGACACAAGCUCAACGAGCUCAGGAGCGUCAAUGGAAGCACACGAGAUGCUGGAAUCUGGCGCAAAAAAAUUUCAAAAACUGCUGGAAAAACUCAGCGGGUCGAGCAGCGUCUGCGGAGGCAAAGGGCCGGCUGACGAUUCGGGUUGAGGCCCUGAAUCGGGACUGACGGCGCAGCCUCGUGGCCCAGAAACACCACUGACCCUCUUUAGAUGCGGUCCGCGUUUAUUGCCCGUUGAACAUUUGCCCUGAUUUGUAGCUCGCCCACCGAUUCCCGGGAGUUCAUCACAUUGUGGGUCCUGACAUCAGGACUCCCCGGGUAACGGCACCGGAUUCAAUUCCAGGAGAGUCCCGCAGGCGGGCGGUUUUCUGACCAAACUAAUUAAUUCCCCGCGAACUUGACCCUCAGUCCCAGCUCCAGCUUUUGCGCAGUAACACACCGCUACUCGCUGGAUAAACAAAGAUUCCGCACCGACGUUGUCCACCACAGUCAGCACCAGGACAUCACCACCUGUGAGUCACUCUCCAGGCUGGUUAACCGGAGCCUCGGACGUUCCCCCGACCUUGGAUCUUAGCGGGUGUCCGGAGACGCGUUUGUUCCGCCUCCCUCAGCUCCGAGCCGGUCACAGCGAGCGGGGGUGCCAGCCAGACAUCAGGAGGUGACUGCCCGACCGCAGCGGCUCCUCUGGACGGCUGCAGGCGGCAGCCGGCGUUGUAAAGGUUUAAUAAACCGAGUGCAGCGGCGAGUGUCCGAGGCGGGGUGUUCACUCUUUUCUCGCACUGGUUAAUUCAGAAGAAUCUGCACAUCGAACCCAGCACUGGAGCCCGAAGGUUUUAGUGAAUUAAUAUUGCACUUAAAAAUGUUCAAGUAUCUCCUGGAGCAGGGAGGGAGCCCGGACACCGUGACCGGCCCUGAGACGCUGUGAUCUGCAGACCACAGACUUGGUGCUUGGCUCCGCUCGCACCGACGUCGUUUAAUUGCUUCAAACCCCAAACUGAAGGAGUUUGGAGAGUGGGCAAAGUUUUGCAGUGACCGAACUUUCAGUCGGUCUCCAGGUGGGGUUUUUAGUGGUGUUUUUGCCCAGUGGACCCGGUCUGUGACAAGGGGCAGAGAUCCCCGGGAGGUGUCUGCGGGCGGUGGGUCUGUGGCCCCGCAGUCUGGGACACGGGGGGGGGGGGUGCGACAGUGCCGGGGGGCUGUGUGGCCCGGACCCCAGGACCCUGCCCCGUCCCCCGUGUGGCCCCUCUGUACCACCCACCCCCCGAUCUCCGGCUCCGAGUCCAAGGGCCUUGGGGGGACCUCGGGGCACCUGCCGGGGGUGGGGCAGAUUCACCGGGUGGCGGGAUGGCCGCGGGGGUGGGGGGGGGGGGGGGUCCGGACUGUGUUCAGGUUACAGGAGUGAGAGGAGAUUGAAACUUCCAGAGGCGGAUGUGAGAUGUUCCCCCUCCCCCCAAACCCCAACCGCCCUGGGGGGGGGAGGAUGUGGGGGGA